GUCCUCUGAUUCUCUUUAACUGAACUGCAUUUGAUUCUGUGGUUGUCCCUCCAAUGGCCAGGCAGGAGGAAAGGCACUGUGCAGGUAAAAUAUACAUUUUUUUCCUGGAUCCCGAUGUACAAGUUAUUCUUUAUGCUAAACCACCAAAUAAAAGCUCACUCUUUCAUGCCUGUGAGGAGGCAGCUGGAGAGAGACAGCAAACUUCAAGGCCCUGCAAAUAGAGCAAGAAGCAAUUUUCUUAGGGGGCAUGUUACCUGGUCUUCUUGAAGAGUAACUGACAUCGACUGGUAAUCUGUGGGAUUACUUUGCACCAGAAAUGUUUCUCCCCUGAUUAGACAGCGCGGAAACUCUUGCAGAAGUCCACAAGGGUGGGCCUCAUCUAAUCAAUUGAAGACCUUCAGAGCAAUAGCUGAGGCUCCCCAAUGAAGAAGAAAUUCUGCCUCAAGACUGCAACGUAGAAAUCCCAUCUGAAUUUCCAGCCUGCCCCUGUGGAAUUUGGAGUCAAGACUGCAACAUCAACUCUUCCCUGAAUUUCCAGACUGCAGGCAUGCCCUACAGAUUUUGGACUUGUUAAUCCCCAUAGAUGUGUGAGCUAAUUCCUUAAAUCUGUGUAUGUGUCUGGGUGUGUGUAUAUUAGUUUGAUUUUUCUGGAGAACACUGACAAAUACAAGCCCUGAGAGACAAGAAGGGCAGUUUCUUUUCCCAUUUUACAGAUGGCUAAAUAGAGGUACAGUAAGCUUAGGCCAUUAACCUAAGGCUCCCUGCUGAGUAUUUGAGACUGGAAGGAAGCAAGGUCAUUGGCCUUCUAACUCCCAGCUUUUAAAAUGGAAGCUACUGCUUGGUAUAUUGUCCUUCCAGUAGCCAAGAGCUCAACCAUCUGGAAGGGACAUUUGAACAACAUUUCCUCUCUCUGGCAUUGUAUUGGGUCUGGAUGCUAAGCCAGGUGACACCAAUGGGCUUUGAAGAUCCACAUACAUAUUUAACAACCACUGUUUCAAUGGCUUGCUUCAGAGGAGAUAUAAGCCUUCCCUUGAACAAAACAAUCACCUCACUGUAAAUGUGUACAGGAACAUCAAACCAUCAGUAAGCUGAAAGAUUUUUAUCCUUUGCAGUCAGUAAUGAAAGCCUGGAAAGGAUUUCUCUUGAGAUAUUCUGGUUUUGAUGGAUUUUCCUUUGUUUACAAUGAACCUGGGACUUAAAUAUUACAGCCUAUCCUUGCCUGACUGAAAUAACUGACCCACAAUAUCUGGAACAAUAACCUGGGUAUUAUUUGAAGCAUACUGGUCCAAACUUUGACUCUGUUUCACACUGGGUGUAAAAUUAAAUGCAGAACAAUUACAAGUUAGUGACUCCCUAUCCAGUGGGUUUUGGAUUCUCACAGCUUUGGAGGGGGAGGAGAAGUGCUCCACAUGCUUGGGUGAGAAAGCCCGCUCUCAGUGGUUUAGGUCAAGACAUGAUCAUCUUACCAUGAGCGAGUUUCUCUUUGAUGCCUGGGCUGAGCUGUCCCCUCCUGCCAAGAGCAGAGUUAAACGCAACAACCUGAGGGUAGGUUUGGGCAUAAUGGUGUCAUUUCUCUGCUCAUAUAUCAAAAAAUCAUGGGAGUCUGAAAUUCACUGUAGAGGCUGCUACCUACAAGGGAGUUAAGAUGCCACGAAUAGCAAAGCUUAUGUAUGUGGUCUUGUACAAGCUCCGUUACAGUCUAUGCCUCAUUUUGCUCAUCUGUGAAAUGGGAAUAAUACUUGUUUCACAGGAUUGAUAAGACGAUUAAAAACACUUAAAAUUAGUCAGUGGCCUUUUCUGAAUAUCAAACUUGGGCCAGCACUGCGUCAAUCAUUGAGGAUUCCUUAUCUUGGUUAAAUGUCACAAGUAUUCUAUAAAGGGGUGUGGUACAGUUAUUGGUGCUGUUUUAAAAUGAGGGAAUUGUACUUAGCAGGUUAAGUGCCUUUUCCGUUGUCACUUAGUGAGUUAACAGCAGAUAGGACCCUGACCUCAAUCAAUCACUGGGUGCUCAGGGCAGCUCAGUUUUAUCCUCCUUGAUGCUGGUCUUCACCCCUUUCCUUUUUUGCUCCUCUUAGGGUCAGGGUCUCAAAUGGACUUCUAACCAGAAAGAUCAGAGGGGAUGCAGUGUUUCAGCUUGGGCUAAUGGGCUCUCCUUGAGGCUGGACUGAAAGAAACUGAAGAUCCUUCCAUGUUGAAACAAGGGGAGAAUGGGUCUAAUGCAAAGAGAAAUAAAAUCAUUUGCUUCUGUGAGUGCCACUGUUAUCCUGUGUUGCUAAGAAAUUAUAAGCUGCUGGAGGUAAGGCAGUUAACUUGCAGUAGACUCCUGGGUUUUAUGUUAAACAAAUGAUUUUUGAUGAGGAAGUUUGUAGUUUCCUCUGACGAUAAUCUGCCCUGUUCAUUGCUUGUCUCAUUGUCAAAUUCAGCUUGCAGGGCUUUGUGAAUUCUCAUGAAAAGCUUUCUUUCCAGGCAGUGAGAAAGUUUAAGGUCAGAAGAAGGACACAGUGCUGAGAAAGUAAAAGCUCACGGGAUUUGUUGAGUGAUGAGACCCUCUCUGGCUCAUAGAAAAAUAGAAAGCCUUUUCUUGCUGUCAAACUUAAAAUUUAUCAAGGCAAGUGGAAAACAAACACAGGAAAAAUUAUUCCAAAAGCACUAUGCUUUCAGGCUUCCCAUUCCAUUGACGAUGAAAUCGGCACCCAAGGGGGUAGGAGGAAAGGAGCCACGGAGAAUAUAUAGGAGAUUGGACCAGAGUGUGCACUGAAGGAAAAGGCAUUGUUGUCCUCCUGGUUCAAUCCAUUGUGUUGAAGAGGUCGUGCUGAUGAUUUCAGCCAAUAAAUAGUGAAUGUCUACAUAAUGAGUGGUAAGCCCAGCUCUGUAUCCAGGCAUCCGUAUGCUGAGUAACGUUCUCCCAAGGGCAUGGCUGGCUAAUUGUCUGGAGCCUGGAUGAAGAGAGAGAGGAUUAUAUUACAUGCUCCGGCAUAUUACAUUAAGCUGAGUCCUGAUUCAGGGCCAAUAUUUUUGUUCAGUGAUGCUUGUUGCCUCAGAUCUCUCCCUGGUGGAGUUUUAUCUCCCUGAGGAAACAUGGUGAU